AAGUUUAACUUGUAAGGUGUUAAUAUCGCGUUAAUAAUUAUGAAGAGUUGAAACUUUGUUUGCCAAUAAGCUUCGCAAAAUUUACUGCAGCGACAACUGUGUAAAUUGGUGAUCUCACGGACACCUUAGCGCUGCAUCAUGAUCGAGGCUGUAUCCAUGCGCGCCGCUGUUGCUUCUUUGCUGACCGGAGCAGCAUGCGCGGCUCGUGUUCGUCAAUUGUGAUCUCUCUUGCUCUUAUUUCAUGUUCAGCGACUGCUUUGAUUUUGCACUGACUUCAACGAAGACCUGAGGAAUUUACUUCCCUGCAUGUGGUACAAUUGUGGAUGCAGAGGCAAGUGUGUUUUUGUGGAGAGGCCGUUGGUUUGACCAUCGUUAACUUUUGGUGCGGAAAAAUGGACGCCUAAGCUUGCGUGCAAGUUUUCCUCGCAUCUUCCUUUCUGAAAAGCUGUACGGAUAAGUGUGGUCGUCUUAAGUUGUGAUUAAGUUCCUCUGGAUUUACUGGCUCUGUACAUCACAGCCUCUGCUAAAUUUUAAGGAGAUUCUGAGGCCAUUGUUUCCUCCGUAGUGCUGGGAGCGGCGUGCUCUGAGGAAAAAAGAAGCAGCCCUCACCCAAAGACGAAAUAAAAACGCUGACUACGGUGGCGUAGGCUUCUCUCUUGCUUCUCUGGUCAAGGCCAGUCGAGCGGGCGCCGUGUGAGUGAAUCGGAGGCUGUCUCCCCAUCCCGACGGCAGAGCUCUAAGCUGGCACCACAGCUGAACGAGAGAUCUGUAAAUUGGACGGCCGCAGCUGAAGUUAACAGCGGCGACACGUUUACAGUGCUGCAGGAGUCUUUGGUGGCCGGUUACCGUGGUCCGUCAUCGCCUAUAUAGCUGCUUGCACGCCACUCCAGUCUCCCAAUUUGAAGCUCCGACAUCGGGUAAUACAGCAUCCAGAUGCAACGGAACGCUGUACUGGGACUCGUAUUAGCGCUCCUUCACGUAUCGUCCUGAAGGUGGACCACAUUUUGACGAAGAACAGCACCACGGCGACAGGUACAGGAAGCGAAUCCAUGAGGAGCCAAAUAAACGGGAAAGUGAAGUCACUGCAUUGCGACGGCCAACACCACCGCUUGGAGAAAACAGAGUACAUGGAACCCCAGAAAUGCUAUGAAGUUAUGGAAUGGGACAUCGAGAAUACAUGGCACAGUCCCGUCACACUGCAGCACGAGGUUUUCUCCCCUAUGAUAAGAGUCUAUGGCACAAACAGGACAUAUUUUGUCUUGGUAGAUUUGACGGAAGGUGGAAGAAUUGCAUCAACAAUGCAGUGGGAUGACUUGCAAUUAGAAACUCAAGUGCGAAGAAACA